rnacentral:rRNA from 1 species
GCAGUGGGGAAUUUUGGACAAUGGGGGCAACCCUGAUCCAGCAAUGCCGCGUGUGUGAAGAAGGCCUUCGGGUUGUAAAGCACUUUUGUCCGGAAAGAAAGCAUCCCUGUUAAUACCGGGGGUGGAUGACGGUACCGGAAGAAUAAGCACCGGCUAACUACGUGCCAGCAGCCGCGGUAAUACGUAGGGUGCAGCGUUAAUCGGAAUUACUGGGCGUAAAGCGUGCGCAGGCGGUGCUGUAAGACCGAUGUGAAAUCCCCGGGCUUAACCUGGGAACUGCAUUGGUGACUGCAGCGCUGGAGUAUGGCAGAGGGGGGUGGAAUUCCACGUGAGCAGUGAAAUGCGUAGAGAUGUGGAGGAACACCGAUGGCGAAGGCAGCCCCCUGGGCCAAUACUGACGCUCAUGCACGAAAGCGUGGGGAGCAAACAGGAUUAGAUACCCUGGUAGUCCACGCCCUAAACGAUGUCAAC